CCUGUGAGUGUAGAUUACUAUUUCUAGGCUAUUUACCAAGCGUAUCCAGCUUUUGUAUUUAACUUUGUUAUGACAGGUGGAUUCAAAGCACUCGUAUAGUAUUUUUAGGAUCCCAAUUUGAGGUUAGAACAUAGCCACGUGUGACAUCUAGUUGCAUAAACAGCGCAGGAGAAAAUUCUCGACAAAAUGGAUAAAUCAGAGAAAACUCAUCGAAAAAUCAUGGAACAAGUGCAGAAGAUGACAAACAGAGCACUGGAAAUGCGAGUGGACACCAAUCGGAUGACAUCUCGCAUCAUCCUCGCAAACAACGUCGAAUACCUCGAGGAAAUUCAUCACUUCCGCGAAGCUCAACGAUUCAGCCAGAGCAGCCCAAGUCCAGUUAGCAGCCCGAUGACAAAAUGAUAUGAACAAACAAUCACUCUACUCUGUGAAUUCUAUUCAGGGAAAAUAAAGAACAACGACCGAGCAUUAUAUUGAA